GCCGGUGUAGCUCAGACGGUAGAGCAGCGCAUUCGUAAUGCGAAGGUCGAGGGUUCGAUUCCUUUCACCGGCACCA
rnacentral:tRNA from 1 species